UUUAGAUUUGAUUUUGGUUUGUUGUAGAGUUAAGAUAAUAUUAUCUAUUUUUGAUUUAUAUAAAUGGGCAAUGUGUGUUUACCCUGGUAGUUUGUUGUUAGUAGAAAUAUAGUUCCAGAAUAAUCGGCUAUGCUUUAUGAGUUUGGACUCUAAUUGUUUUGAUUUUUAUUGUGGAGAUUGGACUUUUCGCUUGCUGGUAAAAUUAGGGGUAGUGUUAAGUGAGAUUAAAAGUUGAAUGUUCUGUUUGAGCGACCCGGAUUAGUACCCGGUUAGAGGAAUUUAAUUAGUGCAGGAGUAAGGAGAAACUGAAAAAAUAUUGGCAGGCUUUUAAAUUAUCCUUGGAGGUUGAGUUGUAAUCGAGAACCCGCGUUUACAUCCUUUAAUUUUAGGUUUGUGUAUGAUCGUCUUUUAUAUACUUAAGGUUUUUAAGUUUAAAUUUUUUUUUUGUAAAGAUAGAUAGAUAUUCAAUUUAUAUUAAGGAUUUUCUUGACCUACAAUAUUGGAGAUUUUAUUGGAUAGCUGGACGAGAGUUUAGUUUGAAAUUGUAAAAGACAGUAUGAAGUAUUUAUUUGUGCUUUUGAAGAGUAUUUAGAGGCGGUACAAAUCAUCCAUCAAUUGCCUAAAGGGGAGUAAGUUGUAGUAAAGUAGGGUUAGGGAACCUGGUCUUAGUAGUAUGUUG
rnacentral:ncRNA from 1 species